GGGGGGAGCGCUGGAUCUUGGGCUGUGUCCCCCAGUGCCCCGGGCUCCAGGGCCUGUGCCACUGGAAUCAUGCUCCCAGGCGGCGCAGCUCCCU
rnacentral:pre_miRNA from 1 species